UACAGAGGGUGCAAACGUUGUUCGGAAUUACUGGGCGUAAAGCGCGUGUAGGCGGCUAUGCAAGUCGGGUGUGAAAUCCCACGGCUCAACCGUGGAAGUGCACUCGAAACUACGUAGCUGGAGUUCUGGAGAGGAAGGUGGAAUGCUCGGUGUAGAGGUGAAAUUCGUAGAUAUCGAGUGGAACACCGGUGGCGAAGGCGGCCUUCUGGACAGAAACUGACGCUGAGACGCGAAAGCGUGGGGAGCGAACAGG
rnacentral:rRNA from 1 species